GUGGAUAUAACCAAAUUUCAAUUUUCGAGGUCUUCUUGGGUCAGCUCUGGGUCUUGGCCUUUCACCCUUCAAUACUGUCAGGCUCCAGUUGCCGAAAUUCAUGCGAGAACUCGACACAGGUAUUAAAAAGUCAUACGAGUACAAGCAGUUGAAGAGGAAUACGAGUUGAAGCAAAUGAAAGAUAUGGCUGCAGCUAGAAAGAGAUGGGGGAGCCAUGGAAACAUGCAACAGAUAUGACACGGUCACAUUUUACACUAGCAAGAACAUGGAGUUACAACAGCAAGGAGAGGUAUUCUUCUGCGGAUUGUAACACCAGGGCAUUCAGUCAUGUCCAGAUGUUCUCCCUUGGCUCCACCAGGCAAUGCCCAAUCGAACUUGUGCACGAGAUUUGCUAACACAAACUCAUUGGUGACCAUUGCGAAGGAGGUCCUCGGGCAGCCCCUCCUGCCAGCUCCAAAUGGAAUCAAUUCAAAGUCAUGCCCUCUGAAAUCUAUAGAAGAAUUCAAGAACCUCUCAGGCUGAAACUCUUCAGGUUCAACCCAUGAAACGGGAUCUUUUUCGAUUGCCCAAGCAUUGAUCAUAGCCAUUGUUCCAGCUGCAAUGUCAUAGCCCAUUACUCUGACAUCUUCACUCACUUCACGUACGAUUAAUAGGACAGGAGGAUGCAAACGAACAAUUUCUUUGAUCACUGCUUUAAGGUAGUGCAUUUCCUCCAGAUCAUCAGCUGUGAUGUGUGGUUUGCCUUUAACAAUCUCUCUCACUUCACUUUGCACUUUAUUCAUGACUCUGGGAUGUCUUAAUAGCUCGGUCAUUGCCCAUUCUAGGAAUGUGGAGGCAGUAUCAGUUCCAGCAGCAAAGAUGUCCUACAAGAAUCCAAAGAUAAAACAACUUCAGAUGGUUAGUAAAGUUUGUUUAAUAGAUAGAGAGAGAGAGAGAUCCUCACCAAGAUGAGAGCUUUGAUGCAGUCUCUAUCAAUGGAAAGACCAGCAGUACUGUCUUUAUGGAUCCUAAGCAAAAUAUCAAGGAAAUCCUCCCUGCCUUCCUCUUCAACUCUCUUAUCACCAUUAUUCUUCCUUUUCAGGACAUUCAUAUGCUCUUCAACUACUUGCUCCAGGAAUUCAUCAAUCUCCUUUGCAACUCUGUCCACUUUACCAUAUAAACCAGUGACAUGAUUGAUCCAUGCAAGCCAUGGAAUGAAUUCCCCAACAUCCAUACUGCCCAUUAACCCCAUGAGAUCCUUCAAUAGCUGCGUAAACUUCUUCCCACUUUCCCCUCCACUGUACUUUCUCCCAACAGCUGCCCUAAACACCACAUCAUUUGCUAGCAACGUGAAUAUUUCACUUAAAUUCAAUGCUGAGGACGAAGAAGAUGACUCUUCAAUCUUCUUCUCUGACAAAAUGAAAAGACUGAACUCUUCUUUUACUUAGAAGCUGGAGCAUAACAAUGCUUUUCAUCUGCCUCCAGAAUUCACCAUAAGGGGCCGCGGACACGUCCUUGAAAUCGUAGAGAAGCCGUUUAGCUAUGUUGGAUUUUGGCCUGUUUGAAAAGACGAUAUCAUGUGUUUUCAUGAUCUCUCGAGCAGCUUCAGCAGAUGAGGCGAUGAGUGUUGGUGUACUGCCGAGGUGAAGUAGCAUGAGAGGGCCAUGUCAUCGAGCUAAAGAUCGGAGUGAGCGGUGAGGGAGGAAGCCCAGUUGGUGGAAGUUUCCUAUAAUUGGGAGCUUUGGUGGUGAGGGUGGUAGAUGUUUGUUGAUAGUAGAAGUAUUGAGGAGCCAUUUCUUGACGAGGAAUGCUAUGAAUAAUAUGGAAAGAAAAGAGAAGACAAAAGGGUGCAAAAAGAAUGAAGUCACUAGCUUCUCCAUCAGAUGCAGAAAACUAGACAGAUCCACUUUGUAGAUACAAGUACAUUCAUGGACCCUAGAAUUAAAGGGCAAAGAAAACCAAUUCACCUAUUGUGUGUUGAGAUAGGGCAACAAACAUCAAGAGCAAGACAAGGAGCUCAAAAAGCUUAGUAGUAUCCUUUUACUGCUUCCAGAAGCAAAACAUGUAUAUGUGUAUGAAUAGAAUAACAGUAACUCAGGAAGUUUUCUUUCCAAGCAUCAAGCUACGAGAAGCAUUACAAUAGGAUAUUCAGUUUUUAAUUGAUCGAA